AUUCAAACCCACACCAAUAAUCACAUUCAUCGUGAAAAAGGAUUUCUCCACAAACUUUGUGAAACUUCCUCAAUCGAACAUGAUAUCCUUUCACAACCUUCAUCGAUUCAUCUCCUCCAUUCACGAUUUCUCGCCACUCCUCCGUUCACGACCUCAACCCUUCACAAACUUCGUCGUUCAUUACUCUUUUGGGCUAUUGUGCAUUCCGUCGUUGUUCACCACUCUUCUCCGGCAGCGAUGCGAUUUCUUGUGGCCACAUCUCCGGCGAUGAAACAUGUUUAUGAGACGGUAGAAGAAUGACCUUACAUAAAAAUGAUUAACAUGGCCAGUGGACUUGGUAGGCAAAUAAAAGUGAAGGAAGAUCUCAAAAAUGGAAGUGCAUCAUAAUCUGUCUGUUUGUUUGUAUAACAUCUUCUAUGGCUUGUUAUGGGGAGAAAGGUUGAGACAACAGAGAAACAGAGGAUAAGAUUGCUUGCUAAGAAGAUUUUGAUGUUUCUGUUGACUAGUUGUAACUCAAGAGAUAUUCUAUUAUUUUGUAACUUCUUAGAGAUUUAAGAUAGUAGUGAUACAUUUGUAUCUUUUAUGUUGUAACAAUUACCUACAUUUUAUGAUAUAUUAAAGUUUUAUUGGAUAAA